GCCCCGGUGACCAGCGACCUCCCUGGCUCGAGUCCGAGGGGAGACGGCGCCUGGGGAGCAGAGCAAGGCCGCUAUCAGAGGGGAACAAAGAGGGCCGUGGGGUGAGCAGGGCCCAAGCUGCUAAGCAGGGCGCCCAGCAGGCCUUUCGGACCCUUUGGGCUGAGAGCUUUCCUGGCCUUGCUGACUGCCGAGCCCAUCCCGGACCUAGAAACUAAGAGAAAAGAGGGUUGGGGAAUGAAUGGUUCUCGGAAUAGUUCUUUUUUCUUUUUCUUUCUUUUUUCUUCCUGGGGAUUGAACCCAGGGCCUAUGCACCCCUCUCUUUUCUCUCUUCCCAGAGGGUCUCGCUAGGCUGCGGUCCGCCGGCAGGAGCAGUGAAGCGGUGAAGCGGUGGGAAGCCGUCUGGUGUGUGAGCACACGGAGCGCGAAGGUGCUGGGCGUCCCCGAGGCUUCCGAGCCCUUCGCUCCCCUUCUCUCCCAGCGGCCCUCACUUGUCCGCCCCUCGGCGUCACUGGUGUCACCGAGUCUGACACCGCAGUUUUCACUUCCUGCAUGCACACUCGCACCUGGCCUGAUCGCCAGCUCUUUCCCAUGCCAGACCCUGGAGACGCUGGACAGAAACCUCUCAGCCCGCCUGCCUUCCCUGGGCGCAGUCCCAGGAGACAAACGGGCCCUGUUUACCCCACACUUGCAGGGUCAACAGUGACACUGCAGCAUUGCAAAGGCCUGUGGCACCGUCGUGGUCGGCAGACGCUGUCCCCGCAGGUCCCGGGGCUCGGUGUGCGGCUGGAGUCCUGCUCCGGUACUGGCUGUGGGCCUGAUCAGAUGGCCUCCGCCCUCGGACCUUCCGUGCCCCCUUCUUAAAAUGUGAGUUUGCAGAUCCGCUUGUGUCCGGAGUGGUCAUGAAGCCGUGCGCACGUGUCCCCGGCCCCUCGCCCGCCCUGCGGCCCCAUCGGCCUGCAGCAGAGGUGAGACGUGCUCCUCCCACACUGGGCAAGCUGCCGCCGCGAUGGAGCAGCCGAGGGCGCCGCUCACUUGCUGCUAGCGUUGCUCCCGAAUGCAGCGACAUCUUCCGAGUCUGCCCUGCCAGACAGAGCCCCUCUGCAGGGAGCGGACGGGAAACUUGUAGGGCAGGUUUAGUACUGGCCCGAGGUCACCCAGCUCGUCCACAGUGGUGCCAGCUGCCCCGUGCCAAGGCCCCAGGUUUCCCCUUCCCUGUGUGCCGGCCUCCCUGUCCUUCACCGGGAAGGGCGAGCGGCACUUGGAUGCGGCCUCCUCAGGAUGCACCCCCUGAACCACAGACGGGGCCACAGCUGGAACCGUGCGCGGUGGCCGCGUAAUGACACGCGUGGCAUCGGAAGUGGUAACCGUGUGUUCCAGGGGCUGAGGUGAGGCCUACGGGAACUCACACGCUCCAGCCUACAGAGUUCUUAAUGUCACGCUCUGUUUUCGUCCUCCACGGCGCCUACCAGAAUCCUGGGCUGCUUGGUUAGGCUCGGAUUCCCAGUUUGGGGUUGAUUACAGACAUAAGCUCCGCGUCUAGAAACCUCCGCACUGCCCUACGCCUCGUGUUUACGUGAGGAUCAUCACGUGUCCUUUAUGUGCUGUUUGAUUUCUGGAGACUUGUUUGCGCAGAAAGCAUUGUAACACCAGUUAUUUAUCUCUCAUUUGUCAUACGCAGUGACACCUUGCUUGUCCAAUGGCUCUAAACUCGAACUUUCCCGUCCUUGAACAGCAAAGCUCAAAAAAAGUCUGCUCGGUGUUGUAACUUCGCUCUGUCGCUGAACCGGAAAUCCGACUUGAGAAACCCUGAGGGGCCGAGCACGUCGGCUUCUGCGUGGACACAGCGUGGAGACGCUACAGGGAACACUGAGUCUCAAAAAGGACACAUUGCCUGCCGGAAAAGAAACAGCCUUUGCCAGGAUUUGAACCUGUGACCCUGCACCUAAGGCUCUGCUCUGCCCUCUCUCCCACGCUGCUUGACCCCACCGCUCAAAUUAAUUCACACCUGUGCCUUGGUUCACGCUGCUGUCCUUUGCCCUGGCGAGGUGAGUUUUGGAAAGUGGUCUGAGACUGACUUGCUCCUUAGGGUGAGUUGUCUGAUGGAAAAUGUGUGCUAAAUGCCCCCUAGCUCAUGCCCAAGCGGAGGAGGCUAAGUGUCCCCAGAAAUCCGCACCUCCAUGCAGAGGGAGCUGGCACACGGCAGCCUCCCUCAGACCAGGGGACCAUGGACAGUGGAUCAGAGUCCAGUGCAGGGGGACGGUUCCAAGAGGAAAUGGGAGACGGGACUCCACGGCCCCAGGAUGGUGAGGCCACAGAGGAAAUGACGCCACUCUUCGAUGAGGACAUCAGAUGGGCUCAUGAGGGAGAAAUAGAGCGUCCAUGAAGGUAGACGGUUUAUACAGCUGGUGCUGCUCUAAUGCGUGCUGUUUACACAAGUGUGUGUCGUCACAUACAACGCAAAGCGUAAGACUAAAACUACAUGGGACCAGGCAUGAUGGCGCGUACCCAUAAGCCCAGCACUCGGGAGGCUGAGGCAGGAGGACCACUAUGUGUUUGAGGCUGGUGUGGGCAACCUAGUGAAUUCGAGGCCACCUGAUCAAACAGGAGCGUCCAACUCCAGGGCAGCAGGAAGAGACUCGGUCCCUGGUUCAGCAAUAUUAUUUACCACACACCUGGCCCUGGGGCUGAGGAUGGGCUGGGGAAGCAAGCAAGGUCUCAUCCUGAGCUGCCCCUCAGUGAGUGGAAGCACAGCUUGUAGCCCCCACACUUGGGAGGACCUGGGCUAUUGCAUAUGCAAUCGAUAAAAACUAAAGUUUGCUCCCAAAUCAGUGAGGAAAGCGGUGCUGGGUGGCCAGAGGCCAUAAGAACAGUGACUUAGAACACAGGUGCCAUUAUCAAAACCACCAGGCUCAAAUCCUGGCCCCACGCCGUUCCACAGGCCUGAUCAUGGGCCACUGGUUUCUCAGUUUUUUUCAACUUUAUUGAUAAUCCUCACCCCAAGAAGUUGUCAUUGAGGAUGGCUAAAGGUUGGAUCUUCAGUGUCCCCAAAAACUUAGUCCCUGGUGCAGUGCUACAGGGACAGGAUGGGGCCUAGGGGAUGUCUGCUGGUCACUGGGGUCACUGAAGGAAACUGUGGGACCCCGACUCCUCCACUCCCAAGUCCUGGCCGAGAAGGGGGCAGCUCUGCACCUCCCUCCACCCCACCAUGAUACGCUGCUUCACCACAAAUGGAAAGCAAAGGGCUGGUCGGUCAUGGACUCAACUCUCCAAAACCCUGAGCCAAGUAAACCUUUGCUCUUUAUCCACUGGUCACCCAGGCUUGUGUGGCGGUGACAGGGGGCUGACAUGGGGCUGAAUGAGUUCACGCAACAACAGAGCCCACGGAGAGCAGCAAGAGCGGUGUGGCGGCCCGGGGACGUUGGCUCGUCCUGUUCUCCACCACCUUCCCGCUAAGGUGACAUUCUGUGCAUAGGAGAUACACAGGUCUGCUUGUGGGGUUGUCAGGUGACAUCAGGACACAGAAGUACAGGAAACCAGAACCCACAAUGUCCGAAACCUGGAACUCUGAGGGCCCCCACUUGACUCCCCACCUGGGAAUCCCCACUGCGAGACCUCAGCCUUGGCGUAAGGCCCAUCUGCAGCAGAAGUGAGUUCUGUGCUGAGACUCAGGUCCCCUCCCUGGGACAUCUCUUCAGUAUGAAUGCAGAUAUUCCAAAAUCUGGAAACGUCCGAAAUCGGCAGCCUUGUGGAUGAGGGACCCUUAGCCUGCAUGCGCGGAAUUGGGAAAGCAUUGGGGAUCCGGUGCUCUCGCCAGGGCUUCCGGCCCCGGUGACGAUGGAGGCAGAGGAAGGACAGCAUCUUGGUGCCUGCCACGGAGCAGGGACAACUGUGGGACAGGAGGCCCCUCUGUCUCUGGAGCGGGCCCUGUGAGGCUGGUGCCCCUGCUGCCUUUGGGGACUGAGGAAGCAAAGAGCAGGGCCACCAGGAGGUUCUGCUGUCCAGAAACAGGAACUGAAAUGGGACAGGUUCCCACCGAUGGAAGUGACACUUUCCGGAUCCAGAGAAAAGACCCGGAAAAGAGGGGCCUCCCAGAGUCGGAGAGGACGCACGUCCCGUGAGGACAUGGGGGUCACACGAAGGGUGCCGCUCAACCUGCGUGGAAGCCUCCAGCACAGGGCUGGUCCGGCCGCAGGAAGGGUGCAGCGGGUGAGGGGAGUGGAGAACCAGCACAGCGAGGGAGAGGCUCUCUGUGAAGGCCCUGAGGGAGGCAGCGGUCUAGGGCCUGGGUGGCAGGGAAGGCCCCGGGCAGGUGGCAGGAGCAGUGAGCUCUCUGCACAGGGGCAGCGGCUGCCAGAACAGGGCUUCCGCCUCCCCAGCGCCCUCUCCCCCGGGGGACCACCAGGCUCACCCUGAAGCACACAUCUGCCCUGGGCCCCUCCUCAGGACUCUGGGUCUCCCGAUGUCCUUCUUAGUGUGCCAUCUGGGGCAGCGGCAGCAUCCGCUAGUCCUCAGUUCCCAUCGCCCGUCACCAGCCCCUCUGACCUUGCUCUGUGCUCUCCCCUCCUUGGCCUGGGUAUUGUCACCUGUGUGCCAGCUCUAUGACAGCAAGGAUCAUCUGUUUUGUCCCCUCCUGUCCGGCUCCGGAACCACACCCAGAACCACGCCUGGCACAGUAGGCACUCACCAGAAAUGCAUGGAUCAAGCCGAGGGCCCACAUGGGCAGACCCUGGGUACAGUUCCUGGCACACAGGGACCCCACCUGGCUCCUUUGUCGCUCCCCACCUGGCCGACCCCAGCAGGACUCUCCUCAGUCACAACUAUGCCACUUGUUUCUCCAGCCCCU